CCCUCCCCAGCUGUCCCCACCAUCGGAGAGAGUCAGUUAUAUAACGCCGCUGACGAACGGGCCCGGGCUCCGGGGCGGCAGCGGCUGGCGGCGGGGAGCCCGGCUAACGGGGAAGGGGCUCGCCGAGGACCGGGCUCCGCCGCGGGAGGGGAAAGGUCACCGCCCGGAGGGUCGGGGAGGGGAAAUCCCAGCCGGCCUUCCCGGGCCGGACGGCCCGGGCCUCGCUGCUCCUGCUUCGUUGAACUCGGGAGCAGGGGAAAGGACGGACGCUCAGGACGGAGGGGAAGGCCGCGAGCCCGGGAUGAAUCGUCUCUCUCUACUGCUGAACUGUCCUUUCGAAGCGCUCCGUACGGCGCCCCGCACACAGCAAGCGCUCGAUAGAGACGACCGGACGAAAGAACGGGCUCCUCGGAUCGAUCGAUCGGAUUUCCGGAGCGCCGACUACGCGCAGAGCACCGUGCUAAGCUCUCGAACGGAUGCAGCACAAGGGAGAGCGCCCAGGCCCGGGAAUCUAGAGACCCGGGUUCUCAUCCUGGCUCCGCCGGCUGCCUGCCGUGGCACCCCGGGCGAGUCCCUUCCCUCCUCCGGGCUGGCCCCGUUAACCCUGGAGGGUCCUCCGUCCCCCCUUCCGGACUGUGAGUUUGUGGGCGGGGAGCGUGUCGACCGACUCUGUGGGACUGGACUCUUCCAGACGUUUCGUACAGGUGGCCUGCACACAGUAAGCGGAUAAUAAAUAGCACGGACGGGUGCCGCGGGUCCGCCGGUCCGCCCCCGCCUGAGCCCCGGGGGGUGUCCUCUUAAUAAUAAUAAAGAUGUCACUUGAGCG